CGGCGCGGAGGCGGCUCCGGCCCUACCCAGCCCGUGGGCCCCCGAGCUCGGCCGCGAGAGGGGGAGGGGGCGGCGGCGACCCCGCGACGCGCGGGAGCUCCGGGCCCGGCGCGAGGGCGGAUAACGGGGUCGGGGCUGCCGGAUAACGGGACCAGGAGGCGGAUAACGGAGCCGGCCGGGAGGGGGGGGAGAGAAAAUAAAGGGGUGAAGCCGGCGGGUAACGGGCUCCGGAAGGGACGAGCAGCUGACUCCGGGGUGCUGGGAGUCCGUGUGAUCUCAGAGCUCCCUCCGGGGACCCAGGGCCUCCCUCCGGUCGGGCUGGCGAUAGAGGUUCCUCGCCCAGUCCCGGAUCCCGGGGCGAAGGGGUGGGGGUGGUGUGGGGAGGUGAACGUAGAGAGGCCGGCACCUGCGAGCCUGCGUGGGUCGGGAACUCUGGGAUCAGAAGAAUAAUCGAAGAUGCCCUAUUCAACCUCAACCACCAAGUCUUUCUGGUUUCUCAUUUUCCUUGGCCCUGAAGCCCUAGAUUGGAACUCUUCUCCCCCGGGUCCCCGCAGUAAGCAGCGGAUCGCGAACCAUAUGCAUGCUAGUAGUUUGUGCAAAGAGUGCAUUUGUACCCACGGACGUGUGUGGUCCAGGCUGUCUGUGGAGUGUGUGCAUUGGUGUGUCUGAAGGGGCCACUGUGUCGGCCGAAGGGAGUGUGUACCCUGUGUGUAAGUUGGUGCUGACUCCGCCAGAACUUCUGGUCCCUCCUCCUCCCUCCCUGAUUGCAUCAUUAGUGCUAAUUGAGGGGCUUUCACACGCCAGUGCAUUAGCUGUUUGGAGUGAGCUCCCCCCUCCUGGGAGAGAUAAGCCGCUGCCCCUCCCCAUCCCAGCCCUCCACUUCCCCACAGCCCUGGAACUGUCCACCCAGAACCUCUCACCUUCCCGGGCACCUUCCUGCCUCUCUCUGGUUCUGGAUUGGUUAAUCUCUUUCCUCCCCGCAGUGUCAGAGAUUGGCAGGAGAGGAGUCAGGGAGGUGUCAGAAGGACACCUCUCUGAGGGGGUGUCAGGGAGGGAAGAUUUUCCUCCAGGGGGCUGGAAAGUUCUGGCAUUCCUACAGAAUGCAGAGUCACCGUGAUGAGAGAGGGGACAGGAAUCUCUGCCUGAUUCUUUUGGACAUGGAAGGGCAGAGGAGAGGACUGGGACUUUGAUCUCCAGCCUGCUAUUCCACUGCGGGAGAAGAAUCAUCAUUUCAAAGAAUUGAAAAAGACACAAAACAUCGCUUCCACUUCCAGCUCGGGUCUGUAGUAUGCCCACCUGCCCUGUCCUGGAGACUGGCAGGGCCAGCCGCCUCCUCAGGUAGAACUCUGGAAGCUCGUCACUCUCUUCUGAUUGAAGAGGGAGAAGCAAUGACUGCGGCUAUUCUUUGGCCUUGGUUGGCUGCUGGGAAUCCUGUGUCCAGGCUGUGGGAAGAUGUGAGUGCAGGCCUGAAGGCCAGCUGCUUGCCUGUCAGGAAGGCCGCCAGGUGAGUCACAGCUGGAGCACUUCCUCCGUGGGCUCAGGGCCCAACCCCCUGUCUUGUCCUGUGGAGUGUGACAUGGAGGAGAAAGCAGGUC